rnacentral:rRNA from 1 species
UACGGAGGGUGCAAGCGUUGUUCGGAAUCACUGGGCGUAAAGCGCGUGUAGGCGGCCUUUUAAGUCCGAUGUGAAAGCCCGGGGCUCACCCCCGGAAGUGCAUUGGAUACUGAAGGGCUGGAGUACCGGAGAGGAGGGUGGAAUUCCUGGUGUAGCGGUGAAAUGCGUAGAUAUCAGGAGGAACACCUGUGGCGAAGGCGGCCCUCUGGACGGAUACUGACGCUGAGACGCGAAAGCGUGGGGAGCGAACCGG